CUGGGAGCCCCAGGUCAAAAGGGGAUUGUCUGUAGAUGUGGAAUGGAUGGUUUGGCUUGGUAAACAACCAGUGCCAGGGAAAUGUGCUCGUGUGGGCUCUGAAUUGUGCUCCACGUGAAGCAAAGUGCACAGCCUGAAUUUAGAGGCAGGUUGUUCUUAGAGACAUGGCACUUUUAAAAAAAAUAUUCUUGAAAAUGUUCUUAAAUAUUACAUUUGAAACAUAGUGACAUAUAUUACCCUAUUCAGCUCCAAAAUAUAUAUAUAUAUAUAAAAUUCUAAGGAUGAUAUUAAAAGCUGACAACACACAAUCUUUACUAACCCACAUUCCUGCAGUGUUGUUGCCAGGUCAGUCUGUCAGACUGCACAAAAUCUAAGGUAACGUGUUUAUAAUGCAGUAAAUACAUUUUUCAGGAGCAGGUUUUCACAAAACAGCCAUUCUCCAAGACAGAAGGGACUCACUCUCACCCUGCCACAGCCAUGAACCAGCUCAGCCCAGCAGGAAAGAACCAAGGAGCAGAGGGGGCUGUUCAAGGAGUUGUUGGAGCUGUUCAGUAUAAAGGAGUUUCUGUGAUGUCCCUGGUCAGUGGAAUAACUCUGAAAUAAGUAGAAAGUAGGGCCCAAAAGCUGAGUCUAGAAGAAGUCAGAAACACUUCUUUUCUGGAGCAAUAUUCCUGCCUUGGAAGGAAUACUUGCAGAGACCCUGCAGGACAAAACAAGGUUUAGAGAGUUCAGUACAGCCCAUUGUGGAACUCUGGCUGCCAUCUCUCCUUUGUGAAAGCCUCCUCACAUCCAUUGCACUGAGUUUCCAAGUGUUUCCUAUAAGGAGUUCCUAUAAGGAGGAGAACAGGUGGGUAAGAGCCUCCAGUGGGGCUAAUGACACAGAAUAAAACUCAGUGCUGUUAUCCGAGUUCAUUGUGAGUGUUUUGAGAGGAGAUAGGUUAUUAAGAGAUCAAAACCUACAUCUUUGGGACAGGGUAAUCUGACCUGAAUUAAGAGCCAA
rnacentral:lncRNA from 1 species